GCAGUCGAACGAGAGAAUUGCUAGCUUGCUAAUAAUUCUCUAGUGGCGCACGGGUGAGUAACACGUGAGUAACCUGCCCCCGAGAGCGGGAUAGCCCUGGGAAACUGGGAUUAAUACCGCAUAGUAUCGAAAGAUUAAAGCAGCAAUGCGCUUGGGGAUGGGCUCGCGGCCUAUUAGUUAGUUGGUGAGGUAACGGCUCACCAAGGCGAUGACGGGUAGCCGGUCUGAGAGGAUGUCCGGCCACACUGGAACUGAGACACGGUCCAGACACCUACGGGUGGCAGCAGUCGAGAAUCAUUCACAAUGGGGGAAACCCUGAUGGUGCGACGCCGCGUGGGGGAAUGAAGGUCUUCGGAUUGUAAACCCCUGUCAUGUGGGAGCAAAUUAAAAAGAUAGUACCACAAGAGGAAGAGACGGCUAACUCUGUGCCAGCAGCCGCGGUAAUACAGAGGUCUCAAGCGUUGUUCGGAAUCACUGGGCGUAAAGCGUGCGUAGGCUGUUUCGUAAGUCGUGUGUGAAAGGCGCGGGCUCAACCCGCGGACGGCACAUGAUACUGCGAGACUAGAGUAAUGGAGGGGGAACCGGAAUUCUCGGUGUAGCAGUGAAAUGCGUAGAUAUCGAGAGGAACACUCGUGGCGAAGGCGGGUUCCUGGACAUUAACUGACGCUGAGGCACGAAGGCCAGGGGAGCGAAAGGGAUUAGAUACCCCUGUAGUCCUGGCAGUAAACGGUGCACGCUUGGUGUGCGGNGAAUCGACCCCCUGCGUGCCGGAGCUNACGCGUUAAGCGUGCCGCC
rnacentral:rRNA from 1 species